UACUCGUGGUGAGGACACCAACUCAACAACUCUUUAAAUCUCUCUCAUGACUGAUACAAAGUCUCACUGUCCUUUUGUGCAAAGGUCGAGAUUUUCCUUUUUAAAGCA